rnacentral:rRNA from 1 species
AUGCAUGAGCUUUGUGUUGAUGAAACAGGAGCAAAUAAUCAGCAAGGUGAAAAAUCCGGGCCAUAUUUCAUGUGUCCCGUGGCAGGAGACAACGCGCCAGGGGACAGAUCCCACUUGGGAUCGGCAGCGCAGCAGCAGAUCAGAUCCGCCUCGGGAUCGGCAGCGCAGCAGCUGACCAGAUCCUCCUCGGAAUCUGGUGGUGCAGGGACGCCAGGUGCAGGCGUGCGCGCCACCCCGCCAGAUGCGCGCGUCUCCACCACCGACACGUGGGCCCGCCCCGACAUGCGGGUCCCUCCAGGCAGCACGCAAUACGGCGUCACGUAUCAGCGGCGCGGAUCCGCACGGGUCUCUGGAGCUGGUCCCACCGGUGCUGACCAACCGACCGGACCGCGCAAUGAUGAGCGGGUCCCCGCCUCGGGAUCUUCUGCACCCACCCGUGACGAGGCGCCUCAGCCAGCGACCACAGAAGAUCCGGCCAGCCCCGCGCUGACUGAGGCUGCUGCUGCACCUGCUACUGGGUCCGCGGCAGGAUCCCCCUCGGGAUCUGUUGCUGAUCCACCCAUGCAGCCCUCCGGAUCCUCUGUGGCUGCGGACUCUGUAGCUCCUCCUGCGCGACGAACACGGCUCCAACAAGGUUUAAUUCAGCCUUUAAAUUAUAAACAUGUCACCAAAUAUGGCUUGGUCUGUUCCACAGGAGAACCAGAUGAGCCAGUGACUCUUGAUGCAGCACUUCAUGAUGAUAAGUGGAAGAAGGCAAUGAAUGAAGAAUACAUGGCAUUAAAGAAAAACAAGACUUGGCACUUGGUUCCUCCACAGCAAGGUAAAAACUUGAUUGAUUGUAAGUGGGUUUUUCGGAUCAAAAGGAGAUCUGAUGGAACUAUUGAUCGCUAUAAGGCUAGGCUAGUUGCAAAAGGCUUCAAACAGCGAUAUGGUAUAGACUAUGAGGAUACAUUUAGUCCUGUGGUAAAAGCAGCCACCAUUCGUCUUGUUUUGUCCAUUGCUGUUUCCAGGGGAUGGAGUCUCAGGCAGCUUGAUGUACAGAACGCGUUUCUUCAUGGUGUUCUGGAAGAGGAGGUGUAUAUGAAACAACCUCCUGGGUUUGAAAGUAAGAAAACUCCCUCCUAUGUGUGCAAACUUGAUAAAGCAUUAUAUGGAUUGAAGCAAGCUCCAAGGGCAUGGUACUCACGUCUUUGUCACAAGAUGCAAACACUUGGAUUUAUCCCCUCUAAGUCAGACACGUCAUUGUUCAUCUAUAACAGAUCCAAUACAUGCAUAUUUGUUCUCAUCUAUGUUGAUGAUAUAAUUGUAACUAGUUCAUCUGAUGAAGCAACUAAAGGACUGUUAAAGGACUUGAGUGCAGAUUUUGCGUUAAAAGAUCUUGGAGACUUGCAUUAUUUUCUUGGAAUUGAGGUAAAGAAGCAUUCAAAUGGACUUCACCUUUCUCAAGCUAAGUAUGCAACUGAUCUGGUUAAAAAGGCAGGACUGCAAGGUUGUAAACCUUCUCUCACACCAUUAUCAAGCUCAGAAAAGUUGUCACUUAUGGAAGGUACACCUUUGAGUCAGGAAGAUAGUACAAAAUAUAGAAGUCUAGUAGGGGCUCUUCAGUACUUAACUCUUACCAGGCCUGAUCUUUCAUUUGCUGUCAACAAAGUUUGCCAAUUUUUGCAUGCACCUACUACUGUUCAUUUGACAGCUGCAAAAUGUAUCAUUAGAUAUGUUAAACAUACUCUGAGUAUAGGUCUGAAUUUCAGCAAGUCAUCCUCUACUCUUGUCAGUGCUUUCUCUGACUCUGAUUGGGCAGGCUGCCUGGAUGACAGGCGCUCCACAGGAGGCUUUGCAGUAUUUUUUGGACUUAAUCUGAUAUCAUGGUGUGCACAUAAGCAUGCUACUAUCUCUAGGUCAAGCACUGAGGCAGAAUACAAGGCACUAGCAAAUGCCACAGCUGAAAUCAUAUGGGUUCAGUCUAUGUUGAAAGAGCUUGGUGUAAAAGGCAAACAAGCUCCAUGCUUGUGGUGUGAUAAUCUUGGUGCUACUUAUCUUUCUGCCAAUCCUGUGUUCCAUGUCAGAACAAAGCAUAUAGAGAUAGACUUUCACUUUGUCAGAGAAAGAGUUGCUCAAAGACAACUUGACAUACGGUUUGUGCAUUCCAAAGAUCAAAUUGCAGAUGGAUUCACAAAGCCCCUGCCCACAAAGAGCUUUGAAAACUUCAAGCAUAAUCUCAACUUGAUGAAGUUGUGA